ACACCAUGGUUGCUUUAUUUUACUGUUUAAUUCUGUUUUAAUCUCUAAAUGUAAGUUAGAAGAAAAACGAUUAGAUAUUAAUCAUUAUACGCGAUGAACAGCGGUCUUUUUAGCGUAACCGGAAGUGAUGGAAACAGUUUAACAGAAUCAGCAUCAGAGGAGAUCAGAGCCUGUGUGUCUGUGAAGAGUGGAUCAAUGGAUCCACCAAUAGAAAUGAAGAGAUGGCCUGACCAAAAAUCGGUUGUAACCGAACCUGUUUGUAAAAAGAUGAAGAUUGAGCAGUCUGUGAAUCAACCACAAUAUUUGUGUUCUCAAUUCAGCCAUGACUCUAAACUUAAUGUCCUGAACACAUUUAAAUCAAAUCUGAGAGAGAAGUUUCAGUGUUUGUAUCCAGGAACAUCAAAGCCGAGAAACCCAACACUAUUGAAUGAGAUCUACACAGAGCUCAACAUCACAGAGUGUGAAAGUGGAGAGGCAGAGGAGACACCAAUCAAAUGUAAUGACAUCUUUAAACCUUUACCUGAACAAGACAAACACAUCAGAAGUGUGCUGACAAAGGGAGUCGCUGGCAUUGGAAAAACAGUCUCUGUACAGAAGUUCAUUCUGGACUGGGCUGAAGAGAAAGAGAAUCAGGACGUCCACCUCAUAUUUCCACUUCCUUUCAGAGAGAUCAAUUUGAUGAAGGACAAAACACUCAGUCUUUUAGAUCUUCUUCAUCUUUUCUUCCCAGAGACAAAAGAAAUGGAAAUCUUCAGUGAUAAAUAUAAAGUGUUGUUCAUCUUUGAUGGUUUGGAUGAGUGUCGUCUGUCUCUGGAUUUUCACAGCAGUGUGAGUUUGUGUGAUGUAAAUGAAUCAACCUCAGUGGACGUGAUGCUGACAAACCUCAUCAAGGGGAAUCUGUUUCCCUCUGCUCUCAUCUGGAUCACCUCCAGACCAGCAGCAGCUGAUCUCAUCCCCUCUGUGUGUGUUGAUCGAGUCACAGAGGUACGAGGCUUCAGUGAUCCACAGAAGGAGGAAUACUUCAGGAAGAGAAUCAGUGAUAAGAGUCUGUCUGAUCAAAUCAUCUCACACCUGAAGUCAUCCAGGAGUCUCUACAUCAUGUGUCACAUCCCAGUGGUCUGCUGGAUUUCAGUCACUGUUCUAGAGAGAAUAUUGAGGGAAGCAGAGAGUCAAGAGAUCCCCAAGAAUCUCACACAAAUGUACACACACUUCCUGAUCAUUCAGACAAACAUCAAACAACAGAAGGACUGUGACGACAAAGUAAAUGAUGAAUACUUGAUCUUCAAACUGUGUAAACUGGCUUAUGAGCAGCUUGUGAAAGGCAAUCUGAUCUUCUAUGAUGAAGACUUGUUAGAGUGUGGCAUUGAUGUAUCAGAAGCAUCAGUGUACUCAGGAUUGUGUACUCAGAUCUUCAGAGAGGAGUUUGGUUUGUGUCAGAGGAAAGUUUACAGCUUUGUUCAUCUGAGCAUUCAGGAACAUCUAGCAGCUCUACAUGUGCACCUCGCCUUUAUGAACAACAACCUAAAUGUGUUUGAACAAAUUCAACCGAUUCAAACACAUCAGCUUUCAAUACAUGAUUUGUAUCGGAGAGCUACAGAUGAGGCUCUACAGAGUAAAAAUGGACAUCUGGAUCUUUUCCUUCGUUUUCUUCUGGGUUUGUCGGUGGAGUCCAAUCAGAAUCUCAUACAAGGUUUGAUGAUACAGACAGGACGAAGCUGUCAUAGCAAUGUGAAAACAAUGGGUUACAUCAAAUGGAAGAUCAGGAAGAAUCCAUCUCCAGAGAAAUCUAUCAAUCUGUUUCACUGUCUAAAUGAACUGGGUGAUUAUUUUCUAGUGAAGGAAAUCCAAAAUUAUCUGAAGUAUAGGAUAUUACGUGAUGCCAAAAUCUCUUCAUCUCAGUGGUCAGCUUUAGUUUUUGUCAUGCUGACUUCAGGACGCGAGCUAAGCGAGUUUAACAUGAAUCGUAUUGUUAAACAAAACAAUUCUGCAAUGCUGAAAGUUUUUCAGAAGCUGCUGCCUGUGAUGUGUGAAUUCACAUCAAUUCUGUUAAGUUCUUGUAAUAUCACAGCUGACAGUUGUGUUGCUCUUACUUCGGCUCUGAGGUCAAACCCAUCACAACUAAGGGAACUGAAUCUGUCUCAGAAUAAUCUAGGAGAUUCAGGAGUGAAGCUGAUCUCUGCCGUACUGGAGAAUCCUCAAUGUAAACUGCAGAAACUGAUGUUGUGGAGUUGUAAUAUCACAGAAGAAGGUUGUGUGGCUCUGACUUCAGCUCUGACAUCAAACCCAUCACACCUGAGAGAACUGAAUCUGUCUAGUAAUAAUCUUGGAGAUUCAGGAAUGGAGCAUCUCUCUGCUGUACUGGAGAAUCCUGACUGUAAACUGGAGAAUCUCUGGUUAAGAAGUUGUAAUAUCACAGAUGAAGGUUGUGUUGCUCUGUCUUCAGCCUUGACAUCAAACCCUUCACACUUGAGAGGACUGAUUCUGACUCAAAAUAAAUUUGGAGAUUUAGGAGUGAAGCUGUUGUCUGCUGCACUGGAGAAUCCGCAGUGUAAACUGCAGAUACUCAAGUAAGAUAAUUUUUCUGUAGUCACAGAUAAUGUGGUUCUCAAAGACUUUGUAACUAUCUAUCAAAGAUACAUUUGACAAACAAACAUCCAGUUAUAAACUAUGAAUGCCUUUACUUGGUUUUAAGAGCAAAUUUUUUUUUUCCCAAGGUACAUAUACGCAAUUAAAACUUCAAUGAAUGCAUUCUUAUUUUUAUAAUUCGCCUAAGUCUAUGAAAAUGCUCAGAUUUUGCUCCCGUCUCUAUAAAACCCACCUCCUCAAAUGUCCAGCGUACUCGGAUUGGUCAGAUGGCCUAAUCUAAUGUUAUAGGUCAUUUGUGUUCAGUAUGUGUUGUAAAGGUUACGCCCCAGAGCAAUCACACGCAUGAAUGUAAACAGCGAUAUGUCUCUAGAAACGAUGGCGUCAGUAUUGCCUUACCAGUUUGAUCCCAAUCCAGAGAAGACAACUGUUACCGAAACACCUCCGCAUGCAAGGCUUUUGCAAGACAUUUCACAAUGAUGCUUGUGACAACUGUACCGGAAUGCCAAGCGAAGCGGAAACCGUGUGUUGCUAAGAAAAAGAUUACAUGGCGUAUCAAAGCCCCAACACCAGCUGACAUGUCAGAGUUGUCAUCCCGUUGCGUAUUGUUCUCCGGAUAUACUAGGAGUUUCCUGAUCAAGCUGGUCAUCAUGUUGGUAAUCAGGCGAGUCAUCACGUUGGUAAUCAGGCGGUUCAUCACAUUGGUAAUCAGGCUGGUCAUCAUCACGUUGGUAAGCAGGCUGGUCAUCACGUUGGCUUCCGACCACCACUUCAACGAAGGGCGAGAUAUCGUGUUCAGUCACCUCCUCCUUCACAGGUCUUUCAAUCCGUGAUGCCAGGUCCAUUGGAAUCGGGAUUUCGUUAAGCUGUUCUAAAUAUGGUACUGGGUCCUCGGAUAUCUCAUCAAGCACAAGACUGAUCAGGUCAUCCACAUAACCUGUAAAAAAAAUUGCAGACAAUAACUUUUCUUUUGCCAAUUUACCUGCUCUGUACAUUUUAAGCAUGUCUGUAAUUAUUUGUAUUUAUAAAAUAAAAUUACUGCUUACGGUA